GCGGCCGUAACUAUAACGGUCCUAAGGUAGCGAAAUUCCUUGUCGGGUAAGUUCCGACCUGCACGAAUGGCGUAAUGAUGGCCAGGCUGUCUCCACCCGAGACUCAGUGAAAUUGAACUCGCUGUGAAGAUGCAGUGUACCCGCGGCAAGACGGAAAGACCCCGUGAACCUUUACUAUAGCUUGACACUGAACAUUGAGCCUUGAUGUGUAGGAUAGGUGGGAGGCUUUGAAGUGUGGACGCCAGUCUGCAUGGAGCCGACCUUGAAAUACCACCCUUUAAUGUUUGAUGUUCUAACGUGGACCCGUAAUCCGGGUUGCGGACAGUGUCUGGUGGGUAGUUUGACUGGGGCGGUCUCCUCCUAAAGAGUAACGGAGGAGCACGAAGGUUGGCUAAUCCUGGUCGGACAUCAGGAGGUUAGUGCAAUGGCAUAAGCCAGCUUGACUGCGAGCGUGACGGCGCGAGCAGGUGCGAAAGCAGGUCAUAGUGAUCCGGUGGUUCUGAAUGGAAGGGCCAUCGCUCAACGGAUAAAAGGUACUCCGGGGAUAACAGGCUGAUACCGCCCAAGAGUUCAUAUCGACGGCGGUGUUUGGCACCUCGAUGUCGGCUCAUCACAUCCUGGGGCUGAAGUAGGUCCCAAGGGUAUGGCUGUUCGCCAUUUAAAGUGGUACGCGAGCUGGGUUUAGAACGUCGUGAGACAGUUCGGUCCCUAUCUGCCGUGGGCGCUGGAGAACUGAGGGGGGCUGCUCCUAGUACGAGAGGACCGGAGUGGACGCAUCACUGGUGUUCGGGUUGUCAUGCCAAUGGCACUGCCCGGUAGCUAAAUGCGGAAGAGAUAAGUGCUGAAAGCAUCUAAGCACGAAACUUGCCCCGAGAUGAGUUCUCCCUGAGACUUAGAGUCUCCUGAAGGAACGUUGAAGACGACGACGUUGAUAGGCCGGGUGUGUAAGCGCAGCGAUGCGUUGAGCUAACCGGUACUAAUGAACCGUGAGGCUUAACCUUACA
rnacentral:rRNA from 3 species